UGCACGUGGUGCGGCUGCCGCCACCGAUAGGGUUGGGUGUGGGCUCCACGCGAAAAAGGUGUGGGCCCCACAUAAAAAAGGUUGGCUUAUAAGUUUUAAGCAGGGUGAACCAGCUUAUUGCUUAUAAGUUGGAGGUUUGCCAAGAAGCGGGUACGUCGAGAAGGCACAGAUGAAGAAGACGUAUAUUCCUCUUAUUCACUUUUAAGAAGUAUACCUGAACACCUCUGUUUCAUGGCAUGCAGGUUCUUAGAACACUAUUAAGCAAAAACGGAAGGAGAAAGCUGGUAAAUGGGAUGUUCCUUUGCCAAAGGUCAGACCUGUGGCAGAAGAAGAGAUGUUCAAAGCCAUGCGGACUGGCAAACGGAAAACAUCUACCUCACUACCUGGGUAGAGACACCGGGCAAGGUACAUCGCCAGGAGUCUAGAUGCGUGGCUGCUGACCGCGACUGCUUCUUCAUGUAACGAGCUAUAACAAGUACAUAGAUAGACCAGCCGAGGCCUCGAAGGCGAAUUUUAGUUCACUGAUUUCUGGAGAACGAAAACAAGUUCGAAAUUCUCAAAUUCCCUCCUAGUAGUUGUCAGUUUUGUUUAAAAAAAAAGUAUAAAAGUACUACUGU